rnacentral:rRNA from 1 species
AGCGGCGGACGGGUGAGUAAUGCCUAGGAAUCUGCCUGGUAGUGGGGGAUAACGUUCGGAAACGGACGCUAAUACCGCAUACGUCCUACGGGAGAAAGCAGGGGACCUUCGGGCCUUGCGCUAUCAGAUGAGCCUAGGUCGGAUUAGCUAGUUGGUGAGGUAAUGGCUCACCAAGGCGACGAUCCGUAACUGGUCUGAGAGGAUGAUCAGUCACACUGGAACUGAGACACGGUCCAGACUCCUACGGGAGGCAGCAGUGGGGAAUAUUGGACAAUGGGCGAAAGCCUGAUCCAGCCAUGCCGCGUGUGUGAAGAAGGUCUUCGGAUUGUAAAGCACUUUAAGUUGGGAGGAAGGGUUGUAGAUUAAUACUCUGCAAUUUUGACGUUACCGACAGAAUAAGCACCGGCUAACUCUGUGCCAGCAGCCGCGGUAAUACAGAGGGUGCAAGCGUUAAUCGGAAUUACUGGGCGUAAAGCGCGCGUAGGUGGUUUGUUAAGUUGGAUGUGAAAUCCCCGGGCUCAACCUGGGAACUGCAUUCAAAACUGACUGACUAGAGUAUGGUAGAGGGUGGUGGAAUUUCCUGUGUAGCGGUGAAAUGCGUAGAUAUAGGAAGGAACACCAGUGGCGAAGGCGACCACCUGGACUAAUACUGACACUGAGGUGCGAAAGCGUGGGGAGCAAACAGGAUUAGAUACCCUGGUAGUCCACGCCGUAAACGAUGUCAACUAGCCGUUGGAAGCCUUGAGCUUUUAGUGGCGCAGCUAACGCAUUAAGUUGACCGCCUGGGGAGUACGGCCGCA